GCCAGCAGCUGCGGUAAUACCAGCUCCAAUAGCGUACAUUAAAGUUGUUGCAGUUAAAAAGCUCGUAGUUGGACUUGUGUGUGCUUGCAAUUAGCGGUCAGUUCCCAAAAGGGUUCUCCGACAUGCGUUGCAGGUGCCGUCAAACCUUCAACUGAAUCGUGCCUGGACUUCAUUGUCUGGGCGCUGUCAUUCGGUUGAUCAUUUACUGUGAGAAAAUUAGAGUGUUCAAGGCAGGCAUUAUUGCAAUUGAAUAUGUUAGCAUGGAAUAAUAAGAUAAGGCUUUCGGAUUUUGUUGGUUUCUAGAUCGGAAGUAAUGAUUGAUAGGGAUAGUUGGGGGUGCUAGUAUUCAACGGCCAGAGGUGAAAUUCAUGGAUUCGUUGAAGACUAACUUAUGCGAAAGUAUUCACCAAGGAUGUCCUCUUUAAUCAAGAACGAAUGUUGGGGGAUCGAAGACGACCAGAUACCGUCGUAGUCUCAACCAUAAACUAUGUCGACUAGGGAUUGGCAGUCGUUUUUUUAUAGACUCUGUCAGCACCUUAUGAGAAAUCAAAGUGUUUGGACUCUUGGGGAAGUAUGGCCGCAAGGCUGAAACUUAAAGGAAUUGACGGAAGGGCACCACCAGGAGUGGAGCCUGCGGCUUAAUUUGACUCAACACGGGAAAACUUACCAGGUCCAGAGAUGUAGAGGAUUGACAGAUUGAAGCUCUUUCUUGAUCACUUCGCUGCUGGCACCAGACUUUUCCUC
rnacentral:rRNA from 1 species